UACGGGGGGGGCAAGCGUUGUUCGGAAUUACUGGGCGUAAAGGGCGCGUAGGCGGCCUGCUAAGUCGGACGUGAAAUCCCUCGGCUCAACCGAGGAACUGCGUCCGAUACUGGUGGGCUUGAAUCCGGGAGAGGGAUGUGGAAUUCCAGGUGUAGCGGUGAAAUGCGUAGAUAUCUGGAGGAACACCGGUGGCGAAGGCGGCAUCCUGGACCGGUAUUGACGCUGAGGCGCGAAAGCUAGGGUAGCAAACGGG
rnacentral:rRNA from 1 species